rnacentral:lncRNA from 1 species
CGUCGCCGCAGGGCACUCUGGAAACUGUAGUCCCGGCGCACCGCCCGCGGGGAGCCACCUGCUGGACUUUGGAGAGCUUGGGGAACCACUAAGCGAGUCGGUCCCGGAUCCGAGGGGCCAGCUGCACCGCGUAGCUCCCCAGAAUUUUAUGGGAGCACGAGGGACGGCCAUCAAGUUGAAAGUUUUCGAGCGUCCACUGAUCGUUGCCAGUGCCAAGAAGGUGACCACAUCAGUUCAUGGAAUUCGCUUCGCCCUGCCAGGCUGUCCUGAUCGUCCCCACUUUGCAGGUAGGGACGCCCGGUGGGCGAGGAAACACCCCAGGGCACGCACCGUGGCUGCCAGUCCGCCGCGGGUUUCUCAGCGCGGUGCUGCCUCCUAGUGCGCAAACGCUGCGCCCUUGCAGCCGCUGUCACGUCCGGGAGGCCGGGUGGUUCUCCGCUGGGUCCAGCUUCCCGGGGUUCCCCCCAACUCCCGCGCCCCACAAACCUGCCAGGUUCGAGGACUGGGAGCUCCAUUGGAUUUAUUAUCUCAUGUUUCAUGAUUUCCUGUCUUACUUUUUGAUAAAUAAAAACUUUCUUACUUGUUUCCCAAUUUAAAUAAAAGAUGAGCGCAUUGCAGAUGAAACAAAGGACCUCUUAAACCACCGUCGUCCUUGAUCCUGGCGGUUGGACUCCCCGCACCGCGGCGGCUGCUACCUGCUUGUGACCUAUAGACUAUCACCUAAAAUCAAAUGCUUUCACCUAAAUCUACUAACUGGGUUCCCGGGGGCGCGGUUUAUCAUGAUAUCCUUCCCUCGUGAACAGGUCUGAGUCUGCGAAUGUCACAUCCAGCAGCCCCCACCUCCGGGAAGCGUCCUCGUGGAGGUGGAGGUGCUUUCCCCCUUCUUGGUACUUGGAAAAUAUCCUUUGGGCAACGUAGGAGCAGCAAAUUUGGAACGUUCCAUUUGGAACGUCAACUAAAGACGCGGCGGUGCCGCUAAUGCUUAUGCAAAGGGUGCCCUGGCUAAAUGUUGCCAAGCAGUUCAAAAUGUUCCCACCACCACGUCGUGCUCAGAACUUUCAAGAGUCUUAUCACUAAAAGGAGGAAAUGCCACCCAAGACUGUUUCCACUGAGUGGAACAGGAACCAGCCCAAAGGUCAACCUUGGGUUUCAGACCAUACGACCAGGUGUAGUGCGGGCAGAGGGCCAUUCCCCC